rnacentral:lncRNA from 1 species
CCAUGUUUACUUUUAAUAUUUUAUCUUUGUCUCUGUAUACUCUUCUUCACUAUUAGAAAUAGAUCUGGUCUUUUUGAUCUACCUUUAAGUUUUUUUUUAUAUAUUUCUCUAGCUCUUAAGCUCAAGGAAAACACUAGAUCUGAUUAUACUAUCACUUCAAUAUGCUAUUACCCAAUUCUCUUCCUUAUCUCUGUUCUGGAUUUGUUGUUUUCCUCAUCCUUUUUCUUUCUUAGAUCUAACCAUUUCUCAGAUCUAACCAUUUUUUUGCCCUAUGUUUCAGAUCUAACUUAUUUGCAGAUGAUGCCACCAUUAACGAUGCUCAAAAGGUAAAUCUCUCGUUUUUACUCUUCCAUUAACUGGGUUUUGUUGUAUUUCUUAGGAUUGAAAGAGGAAGAUACAAAUAAAAAA